AACGAACGCUGGCGGCGUGCCUAACACAUGCAAGUCGAACGGAGAUAAGAAGCUUGCUUCUUAUUUUAGUGGCGCACGGGUGAGUAACGCGUGGAUAAUCUACCUGACGCUCUGGGAUAACAUCUCGAAAGGGGUGCUAAUACCGGAUAAGCCCACGAGACCUUCGGGUCAUGCGGGAAAAGGAGGGGACCUUCGGGCCUUCCGACAUCAGAUGAGUCCGCGUCCCAUUAGCUAGUUGGCGGGGUAAUGGCCCACCAAGGCUACGAUGGGUAGCUUGUCUGAGAGGAUGAUCAUCCACACUGGAACUGAGACACGGUCCAGACUCCUACGGGAGUCAGCAGUGGGGAAUUUUGCGCAAUGGGGGAAACCCUGACGCAGCAACGCCGCGUGAGUGAUGAAGGCUUUCGGGUCGUAAAGCUCUGUCAGAAGGGAAGAAAUGUAGGUGGCUAAUAUCCAUUCUACUUGACGGUACCUUCAAAGAAAGCACCGGCUAACUCCGUGCCAGCAGCCGCAGUAAUAC
rnacentral:rRNA from 1 species